rnacentral:rRNA from 1 species
AUUGAACGCUGGCGGCAGGCCUAACACAUGCAAGUCGAACGAGUGGCGCACGGGGGAGAAAUACAUCGGAACGUGUCCUAUCGUGGGGGAUAACUGAUCGAAAGAACAGCUAAUACCGCAUACGAUUGGAGCGGACGAUGCCCGAUUAGCGGGUUGGUGGGGUAAAGGCUCACCAAGGCGACGAUCGGUAGCUGGUCUGAGAGGACGACCAGCCACACGGGGACUGAGAAACGGCCCGGACUCCGACGGGAGGCAGCAGUGGGGAAUUGUCGACAAGGGGGGCAAGCCUGAUCCAGCCAGCCCGCGUGCAGGAUGAAGGUUUUCGGAUUGUAAGCUGCUUUUGUCAGGUAAUCGGUACCGGAAUAAUAAGCACCGGCUAACUACGUGCCAGCAGCCGCGGUAAUAC